rnacentral:rRNA from 1 species
GACGAACGCUGGCGGCGUGCUUAACACAUGCAAGUCGAGCGGUAAGGCCCUUUCGGGGGUACACGAGCGGCGAACGGGUGAGUAACACGUGGGUGACCUGCCCUCAGCUCUGGGAUAAGCCCGGGAAACUGGGUCUAAUACUGGAUAUGACUCCACGGUGCAUGUCGUGGGGUGGAAAGCCUUGUGCGGCUGAGGAUGGGCCCGCGGCCUAUCAGCUUGUUGGUGGGGUGANGGCCUACCAAGGCGACGACGGGUAGCCGGCCUGAGAGGGCGACCGGCCACACUGGGACUGAGACACGGCCCAGACUCCUACGGGAGGCAGCAGUGGGGAAUCUUGCGCAAUGGGCGAAAGCCUGACGCAGCGACGCCGCGUGUGGGAUGAAUGCCU